GGCGAACGCUGGCGGCGUGCUUAACACAUGCAAGUCGAACGGAAAGGCCCUGCUUGCAGGGUACUCGAGUGGCGAACGGGUGAGUAACACGUGGGUGAUCUGCCCUGCACUUCGGGAUAAGCCUGGGAAACUGGGUCUAAUACCGGAUAGGAGCCAUUUUUAGUGUGAUGGUUGGAAAGUUUUUUCGGUGUAGGAUGAGCUCGCGGCCUAUCAGCUUGUUGGUGGGGUAAUGGCCUACCAAGGCGGCGACGGGUAGCCGGCCUGAGAGGGUGGACGGCCACAUUGGGACUGAGAUACGGCCCAGACGCCUACGGGAGGCAGCAGUGGGGAAUAUUGCACAAUGGGCGCAAGCCUGAUGCAGCGACGCCGCGUGGGGGAUGACGGCCUUCGGGUUGUAAACUCCUUUCGCUAGGGACGAAGCUUUUUGUGACGGUACCUAGAUAAGAAGCACCGGCUAACUACGUG
rnacentral:rRNA from 1 species